CCUACGGGGUGCAGCAGUGGGGAAUAUUGCACAAUGGGCGCAAGCCUGAUGCAGCCAUGCCGCGUGUAUGAAGAAGGCCUUCGGGUUGUAAAGUACUUUCAGCGGGGAGGAAGGUGUUGUGGUUAAUAACCACAGCAAUUGACGUUACCCGCAGAAGAAGCACCGGCUAGCUCCGUGCAAGCAGCCGCGGUAAUACGGAGGGUGCAAGCGUUAAUCGGAAUUACUGGGCGUAAAGCGCACGCAGACGGUCUGUCAAGUCGGAUGUGAAAUCCCCGGGCUCAACCUGGGAACUGCAUUUGAAACUGGCAGGCUAGAGUCUUGUAGAGGGAGGUAGAAUUCCAGGUGUAGCGGUGAAAUGCGUAGAGAUCUGGAGGAAUACCGGUGGCGAAGGCGGCCCCCUGGACAAAGACUGACGCUCAGGUGCGAAAGCGUGGGGAGCAAACAGGAUUAGAUACCCUCGUAGUC
rnacentral:rRNA from 1 species